rnacentral:tRNA from 1 species
AGGAAGUUAGUCUAACCAAGACAGUUGAUUUCGACUCAACAGAUCACAGGCUUCCCGUGACUUCCUU